rnacentral:rRNA from 1 species
UACGAAGGGGGCUAGCGUUGCUCGGAAUUACUGGGCGUAAAGGGCGCGUAGGCGGCACUGUUAGUCAGGCGUGAAAGUCCUGGGCUCAACCUGGGAACUGCGCUUGAUACGGCAGAGCUAGAGGAUGGAAGAGGGUCGCGGAAUUCCCAGUGUAGAGGUGAAAUUCGUAGAUAUUGGGAGGAACACCAGUGGCGAAGGCGGCUACCUGGACCGGUUCUGACGCUGAGGCGCGAAAGCGUGGGUAGCAAACAGG